GAUAUCAACUCGCUACGAACCUAAUUUUUGCCUCUCGUCCGCUGAUUCUGGCUGUGAGGGGGAUUGAGGCGACUUCAAGUUCUCCCUGCUCCCAAAAGGACUGGACGCCUAAAAUAGAAUCGGCGAACAAUGAAAUAGGUUUCAAUCUACAUGUAUGAUGCUUACUUGGGACAUUAUGGAGCUAUCGAAGCCACCCUCGGACAGGUCCUUGCUCCAGUAGUGGGUGUGCGCGAUCUCCAUUAGCUGAAAAACCGAGGCCAUUCCACCCAAGCCAAAAUUAUUGAUCGUCUUGUAAGAAUUAAUUGACUGUCUUGUUGGUCAUUUACUUACAAUCAAUUUAAAGAAACAGAUGAAUCUUUUGUCAUAGCAAGUGUGCAGUAGUAAACUGUUUCGAGAUAAACUGGUAAAUGAAGUGUUAGUAAUCAUGGCGAUUUUAUACCAAAUACAUACGUCUGUUAGGAAGGCUUGGUUGUCGCUGUUGGUGCUAGACCGUUCAGCGUUCUGCAUCCUCUGAAUAUCCUCCUGGCUGCUCUUGUUCGAGUGCUUUAUCAACGACGAGCGCUCGACUAAUCCAGUUUUGCCAGCUGAAAUGGAAAGGUCCGAGCAUUGGUUUGUUCUUCUCCGAUUUCUGCGACUGAGGAUGGAGACCGGUAUUUCGAUUAGAACUAUUUUUACUCCCUGGAAAUGAAAUCAAACGAACGAAUUUAAUAAGAGCACAGA